rnacentral:rRNA from 1 species
GACGAACGUUGGCGGCGUGCCUAAUACAUGCAAGUAGAACGCUGAGGACUGGUGCUUGCACCGGCUCAAGGAGUUGCGAACGGGUGAGUAACGCGUAGGUAACCUACCUCAUAGCGGGGGAUAACUAUUGGAAACGAUAGCUAAUACCGCAUGACAAUGGAGGACCCAUGUCUUUCAUUUAAAAGGUGCAACUGCAUCACUAUGAGAUGGACCUGCGUUGUAUUAGCUAGUUGGUAAGGUAACGGCUUACCAAGGCGACGAUGCAUAGCCGAGUUGAGAGACUGAUCGGCCACAUUGGGACUGAGACACGGCCCAA